rnacentral:misc_RNA from 1 species
GAUGAAGAACGUAGCGAAAUGCGAUACUUGGUGUGAAUUGCAGAAUCCCGUGAACCAUCGAGUUUUUGAACGCAAGUUGCGCCCGAAGCCAUUAGGCCGAGGGCACGCCUGCCUGGGCGUCACACGUCGUUGCCCCCCCAUCUACUCCUUCGGGAUUGCGGGGGGCGGAUGAUGGCCUCCCGUGCGCCUCGUCGCGCGGUUGGCAUAAAUGCCAAGUCCUCGGCGACGCACGCCACGACAAUCGGUGGUUGCGAAACCUCGGUUGCCCGUCGUGUGCGGUCGUCGCGCAUCGAGGGCUCGAAAAAAUUGCCGGGCUCCGGUUCGGCUUUCAACGCGACCCCAGGUCAGGCGGGGUUACCCGCUGAAUUUAAGCAUAUCAAUAAGCGGAGGA